UUACUCGAAUAAAAAAUCCUCUUUGUUUCCUGAUAAGGGGAAUAACUCGAGUGUCUCCUCGAGCUCAGAGCCCUCCCCCCGGACAGCACGCCAAAUAUGCUUUAUACUUAAACGAAUGCAAGUGUGAACUCGUGAAGUGAUGUUUUGUAAACAAAUUUCGGGAGGAGCAUGCGCAGAAGUUUCAGUAUCGAAUACGUCAUUGACAAUCAUCCCAUUAUCAAAUCAGUUCUUGAACAAACCCCUAUAUAUACCAAAGCUGUCUUACCUGCAGCAUCUCACAACUUUAGCACCUCUUCACCACCCCGUCACCUCACCUCUUGCAUUAAAUCCCCGGGGGGAGCGUUCUGGGGCCAGGCUAGAUAGUUUGCUUGAAUUCCAACUACUCUUUGUUUCCUGAUAAGGGGAAUAACUCGAGUUGGGGUGACUCCUCGAGCUCAGAGCCCUCCCCUGGACAGCAUGCCAAAUAUGCUUUAUACUUAAACGAAUGCAAGUGUGAACUCGUGAAAUGUCUUCUUGUACUUUGCCUUUUUUGCCAAAGGGACGUAAUACCAUCUGCCAGAUGGAAGUAACAAAGGAACCAUGUAAAGGUUUAACCAUGCAAUCAGCACCCUUGUUGAGUAGUCAGGGCACUGAUGAGGGCUAUAGCCAUUUUAAUGUCUGUCUUCUUUGCAAAAUUCCAGUGCACUAAAAGUUUAUUUGUGUGGAUGUUAGUUUUAUGCAUGCUGAGUUGCCACAAAUUGAGCAGUUUAUUUUAUUUUUUUUGUCAGGUUUUGGCACACAGGUGAUAAAGAAAAAAGAUUCCUGAUGAAUCUCAUUUCUGCAGCAGUACACAAUGACACAGAUACAGGAACAAGUUUCUUAAAUCUGCUGUUAUCUGUGUGCAGUUAUAAAAACUUCCCUUUUAAUGAAGAGUGCAAUGAUUGUAAUCAGACUAAUUUCCUGCUGGAUCUUUGCUCAUAUGUGAAGAACUAUGAGACUCAAACAGGGAGGAGUUUCCUUCCAGCAUUACAGUCAGUUUUCCAGAUUCCUGAUGUCUGGAUCAUAGAUCUCUCACAGAGAAAGUCCUCCAUCCUUCUGGAAGUGCUGAAACUCCAAAGAGAGAAGAAACCAGUAGAGCUGAGAGGAUUUUCAGAGGAAGAGAGUGAAGUGAGGAGUUUCCUCCAGUGUCUGCGCUUCAUCUCACAGCUCAUAUUCUCUAAUCAGAGUGAAAAUGAUCGAAGCAGAUUUCUUGUGAGUCUCUUUAUCAAAGCAGCAGAGUUUGAGACACAGUCUGGAGAGCAGAUGCCGAAACUGUUAUCCUCAGUCUGCAUAUACACAUCAUUUCCUUAUGAAAAGACUGACAUAACUAAACAGACUGAUUUCCUGCUGGAUCUUUACUCACAUGUAAAGAACUAUGAGACUCAAACUAGCAGGAGUCUCCUUCCAGCAUUACAGUCAGUUUUCCAGUUCCCUGAUGUCUGGAUCAUAGAUCUCUCAAAGAGAAAGACCUCUGUCCUCAUGGAAGUGCUGAAUCUGCAAGCAAAUAAGAAACCACUAGAGCUGAGAAGAUGUUCAGAGAAAAAGAGUAAAGUGAGGAGAUUGCUCCAGUGUCUGCCCUUCAUCUCACAGCUCAGAUUCUCUAAACCGAGUAAAAGUGUUCAAAGCAAAUUUCUUCUGAGACUCUUCAUUAAUGCAGCAGAGACUGAGACACAGACAGGAGAGCAGAUGUUGAAACUGUUAUCCUCAGUCUGCACAUACAGCUCUUUUCCUUAUGAAAAAACUGACAGAAUUAAACAGAGUGAUUUCCUGCUGGAUCUUUACUCACAUGUGAAGAAUUAUGAGACUCAAACUAGCAGGAGUUUCCUCCCAGCAUUACAGUCAGUUUUCCAGUCUCCUGAUGUCUGGAUCAUAGAUCUCUCAGACAAAAAGACCUCUGUCCUCCUGGAAGUGCUGAAACUCCAAACAAAGAAGAAACCAGUAGAGCUGAGAGGAUUUUCAGAGGAAGAGAGUGAAGUGAGGAGUUUCCUCCAGUGUCUGCCCUUCAUCUCACAGCUCAGGUAA
ensembl:lincRNA